AUUGAACGCUGGCGGCAGGCCUAACACAUGCAAGUCGAACGGUAACAGGAAGCAGCUUGCUGCUUCGCUGACGAGUGGCGGACGGGUGAGUCAUGUCUGGGAAGCUGCCUGAUGGAGGGGGAUAACUACUGGAAACGGUAGCUAAUACCGCAUAAUGUCGCAAGCCCAAAGAGGGGGACCUUCGGGCCUCUUGCCAUCGGAUGUUCCCAGAUGGGAUUAGCUUGUUGGUGGGGUAACGGCUCACCAAGGCGACGAUCCCUAGCUGGUCUGAGAGGAUGACCAGCCACACUGGAACUGAGACACGGUCCAGACUCCUACGGGAGGCAGCAGUGGGGAAUAUUGCACAAUGGGCGAAAGCCUGAUGGAGCCAUGCCGCGUGUAUGAAGAAGGCCUUCGGGUUGUAAAGUACUUUCAGCGGGGAGGAAGGGAGUAAAGUGAAUACCUUCGCUCAUUGACGGUACCUGCAGAAGAAGCACCGGCUAACUCCGUG
rnacentral:rRNA from 1 species